CGGGUGAGUAACACGUAGGUGACCUACCCCAAAGAGGGGGAUAACGGCCCGAAAGGGCUGCUAAUACCCCAUGUGAUUAGCGAUUCAUUUCGUUAAUGAAAGCUUCCGCAAGGAGUGUGCUUUGGGAGGGGCCUGCGGCGGAUUAGAUUGUUGGUGGGGUAAUGGCCUACCAAGUCGAUGAUACGUAGCUAGUCUGAGAGGACGAUUAGCCACACCGGCACUGACACACGGGCCAG
rnacentral:rRNA from 1 species